UUAAGCGACUAAGCGUACACGGUGGAUGCCCUGGCAGUCAGAGGCGAUGAAGGACGUGCUAAUCUGCGAAAAGCGUCGGUAAGGUGAUAUGAACCGUUAUAACCGGCGAUGUCCGAAUGGGGAAACCCAGUGCAAUUCGUUGCACUAUCGUUAACUGAAUACAUAGGUUAACGAGGCGAACCGGGGGAACUGAAACAUCUAAGUACCCCGAGGAAAAGAAAUCAACCGAGAUUCCCCCAGUAGCGGCGAGCGAACGGGGAGCAGCCCAGAGUCUGAAUCAGCUUGUGUGUUAGUGGAACGGUCUGGAAAGUCCGACGGUACAGGGUGAUAGUCCCGUACACCAAAAUGCACAGGCUGUGAACUCGAAGAGUAGGGCGGGACACGUGGUAUCCUGUCUGAAUAUGGGGGGACCAUCCUCCAAGGCUAAAUACUCCUGACUGACCGAUAGUGAACCAGUACCGUGAGGGAAAGGCGAAAAGAACCCCGGCGAGGGGAGUGAAAAAGAACCUGAAACCGUGUACGUACAAGCAGUGGGAGCACCUUCGGGUGUGACUGCGUACCUUUUGUAUAAUGGGUCAGCGACUUAUAUUCUGUAGCAAGGUUAACCGUAUAGGGGAGCCGCAGGGAAACCGAGUCUUAACUGGGCGUUAAGUUGCAGGGUAUAGACCCGAAACCCGGUGAUCUAGCCAUGGGCAGGUUGAAGGUUGGGUAACACUAACUGGAGGACCGAACCGACUAAUGUUGAAAAAUUAGCGGAUGACUUGUGGCUGGGGGUGAAAGGCCAAUCAAACCGGGAGAUAGCUGGUUCUCCCCGAAAGCUAUUUAGGUAGCGCCUCGUGAACUCAUCUUCGGGGGUAGAGCACUGUUUCGGCUAGGGGGUCAUCCCGACUUACCAACCCGAUGCAAACUACGAAUACCGAAGAAUGUUAUCACGGGAGACACACGGCGGGUGCUAACGUCCGUCGUGAAGAGGGAAACAACCCAGACCGCCAGCUAAGGUCCCAAAGUCAUGGUUAAGUGGGAAACGAUGUGGGAAGGCACAGACAGCCAGGAUGUUGGCUUAGAAGCAGCCAUCAUUUAAAGAAAGCGUAAUAGCUCACUGGUCGAGUCGGCCUGCGCGGAAGAUGUAACGGGGCUAAACCAUGCACCGAAGCUGCGGCAGCGACACUAUGUGUUGUUGGGUAGGGGAGCGUUCUGUAAGCCUGCGAAGGUGACCUGUGAGGGUUGCUGGAGGUAUCAGAAGUGCGAAUGCUGACAUAAGUAACGAUAAAGCGGGUGAAAAGCCCGCUCGCCGGAAGACCAAGGGUUCCUGUCCAACGUUAAUCGGGGCAGGGUGAGUCGACCCCUAAGGCGAGGCCGAAAGGCGUAGUCGAUGGGAAACAGGUUAAUAUUCCUGUACUUGGUGUUACUGCGAAGGGGGGACGGAGAAGGCUAUGUUAGCCGGGCGACGGUUGUCCCGGUUUAAGCAUGUAGGCUGGUUGUCCAGGCAAAUCCGGAUAAUCAAGGCUGAGGUGUGAUGACGAGGUACUACGGUGCUGAAGUAACAAAUGCCCUGCUUCCAGGAAAAGCCUCUAAGCAUCAGGUAACAUUAAAUCGUACCCCAAACCGACACAGGUGGUCAGGUAGAGAAUACCAAGGCGCUUGAGAGAACUCGGGUGAAGGAACUAGGCAAAAUGGUGCCGUAACUUCGGGAGAAGGCACGCUGGUGUGUAGGUGAAGUCCCUGCGGAUGGAGCUGAGACCAGUCGAAGAUACCAGCUGGCUGCAACUGUUUAUUAAAAACACAGCACUGUGCAAACACGAAAGUGGACGUAUACGGUGUGACGCCUGCCCGGUGCCGGAAGGUUAAUUGAUGGGGUUAUCCGUAAGGAGAAGCUCUUGAUCGAAGCCCCGGUAAACGGCGGCCGUAACUAUAACGGUCCUAAGGUAGCGAAAUUCCUUGUCGGGUAAGUUCCGACCUGCACGAAUGGCGUAAUGAUGGCCAGGCUGUCUCCACCCGAGACUCAGUGAAAUUGAACUCGCUGUGAAGAUGCAGUGUACCCGCGGCAAGACGGAAAGACCCCGUGAACCUUUACUAUAGCUUGACACUGAACAUUGAGCCUUGAUGUGUAGGAUAGGUGGGAGGCUUUGAAGCGUGGACGCCAGUCUGCGUGGAGCCAACCUUGAAAUACCACCCUUUAAUGUUUGAUGUUCUAACGUUGGCCCCUUACCGGGGUUGCGGACAGUGUCUGGUGGGUAGUUUGACUGGGGCGGUCUCCUCCCAAAGCGUAACGGAGGAGCACGAAGGUUAGCUAAUCCUGGUCGGACAUCAGGAGGUUAGUGCAAUGGCAUAAGCUAGCUUGACUGCGAGCGUGACGGCGCGAGCAGGUGCGAAAGCAGGUCAUAGUGAUCCGGUGGUUCUGAAUGGAAGGGCCAUCGCUCAACGGAUAAAAGGUACUCCGGGGAUAACAGGCUGAUACCGCCCAAGAGUUCAUAUCGACGGCGGUGUUUGGCACCUCGAUGUCGGCUCAUCACAUCCUGGGGCUGAAGUAGGUCCCAAGGGUAUGGCUGUUCGCCAUUUAAAGUGGUACGCGAGCUGGGUUUAGAACGUCGUGAGACAGUUCGGUCCCUAUCUGCCGUGGGCGCUGGAGAAUUGAGGGGGGCUGCUCCUAGUACGAGAGGACCGGAGUGGACGCAUCACUGGUGUUCGGGUUGUCAUGCCAAUGGCACUGCCCGGUAGCUAAAUGCGGAAGAGAUAAGUGCUGAAAGCAUCUAAGCACGAAACUUGCCCCGAGAUGAGUUCUCCCUGAGACUUUAAGUCUCCUGAAGGAACGUU
rnacentral:rRNA from 1 species